rnacentral:rRNA from 1 species
AUGUUGCCGCAGCUCCUCCUCCGCCGCUUCCCCUCCGCGGGCGCCCACCGCCGCCGCUACCAGGGACACGCCCACCGCCGCCGCCUCAGCUCGUCAUCGGAGGUGGCGGGAGGCCCCGGAUGGCGGCGGCAGCACGAGGAGGAGAGCAAGGCGGUCAAGGUGUCGGUGUGGUGGGACUUCGAGAACUGCCACGUCCCCCAGAACGUCAACGUCUGCCGCGUCGCCCAGCGCGUCUCCGCCGCGCUCCGCGCCGCCGGCGUCCGCGGCCCGCUCUCCAUCACCGCCUUCGGGGACGUCGUCCAGCUCUCCCGCGCCGCGCAGGAGGCGCUCGUUGCCACCGGCGUCGUCAUCUCCCACGUCCCAAGCAGUGGAAAGAACAGUUCUGACCGGUCAUUUAUGGCUGAUCUUGUCUACUGGAUUGCUCAGAACCCUCCACCAGCUCAUUUUUUCCUCAUAUCUGGGGAUAAAGAUUUCGCCAACAUUUUGCAUCGGUUGCGAAUGAGCAACUAUAACAUACUACUUGCUUGUCCUGGUAAAACUACCAGUGUACUGUGCAAUGCAGCGACGAUUAUGUGGCCUUGGGAAGCUUUAGUGAAAGGGGAAAAUUUCUCACCAAAGCGUUUUAACCACCCACCAGAUGGUUUAUCUGGAUCUUGGUAUGGUCACUACAAAGGAGCCCUUGACGACCCCUUCGUGGAAGCUGAAUCAGAAGAAACCAUUGCAACACCAGUACCAUCUGAUGAAAAAUUAUGCCAUAAUCCCAAAAAUGCAGUUACUGCAGUCCCCAAAGAUGUGGUUGAUGGGAUACGAGAGGCACUGAAUUCGUAUCCUAAUGGGGUCAAGCUUUCAAUUCUUCUUCAACAACUCAAGAAGAACAAUGUGCCUCUUGGUAAUGAUUUCUUUGGCCACAAAAAGUUGUCUUGCCUUCUCCUAUCAAUGCCAGAUAUUGUGAAGUUUGUUGCUCGUUCAUCUGCUUUAAGAGAGCCAUGUGUAGUUGGGGUGAACAAAAAAUUACUGGAACCUGCUGAACAAUGUUUUGAGCCCCUGAGUUCUGUUGAAAGUGAUGUCAACGACAAUAACCGCGGUCGAGCAACACACAAUGAUAAGAAGCCUCCAUCCUCCGUGUCCACUUCUUCUCCUGAACAAAACUGUAAAACCCUAGGUUCUCAAAGUAUCACUAGGGACAGAAGCUUCAAGCAGACUGUCUAUGAGAACCCAGCUGCAUCUGCUGUAUCAUCUUCCCCACAAGAUGUCUUACCUGAGGAUCAAAAGGUGUGCUCAGCAGCUGAUAUGAAUGCAAGGCCAGAAUCACCUGCCAACCACAAGGAAGUUGAUGCCCCUGGAACUCCCUCUUCCUUAGGGGUGGAAAAUACUGUUAACAGUGAUGGGCUAUUAAAAAGGCCAACCACAAGGCCAAAAUCAUCUGCCAACCACAAGGAAGUUGAUGCCCCUGGAACUCCCUCUUUCUUAGGGGUGGAAAAUACUGUUGACAGUGACGGACUAUUAAAAAGGAUCUGGGUACUAUGGAAUGGCCCUGAGAGUGCUAAUCGUGAGGUUUCUCCAUGUCAUGAAGGCACUUCUGCUGAAGUCGCUGAUUUGGGAACUCCUCAGCAAGAUUGCAAUACUGAUCAACGUAGCAGGCUUUUGAAUAGGAUCCAUAAGACCUCUUCCCGGAACAGAAGGUCAGAUGUAAGAGAUGGCUCUGCAGCGAUGACUGUUAACUCUUCAACUUUGUCUGACCAUGACCAUUCUGAAAAACAUGCAGAAGAGACAGAAAAGUUAAAGAGGGAUCUGCCUAUUCUCCAGAACUCGAAACCAUGCACUGGACCUGCAUCUGUUCCAUUGUGUAAAGAUGGAGGUGAUACCUCCAAGAUGAGCAAGGGCUUUUUUAGUUGGGUAAUGCGGUGGUGGAAAUUUGGAAAAUUGGAUGGAGAUAACAGUAUAGCCAUGAAAAAUGGCAUUGAUGAAGCAAAGACAGACAUAAUUGAGGAAUCUCAAUCUUUGAAGGCUUCAACUUGUGAAAAUGAGCAGCAAGUAGUUAAUAAAAUAUUCACAAGAUUUUACUUUUGGGAUGUGCUAGGGAAACAGCUAUCGAAGCCCAUUGGGUCUGAGCUUGUUUCGAAAGCAAAGACAAGGGAGGAGUUGGUACAUGGAUUGCAGAAUUUAGAUUGUUGGCCUCUCAAAGGCCUUGUCGAGAAAGAUGUCAAUCAUCUGAUUCAUUUGUUACUUUCAGAAAAGAAAUGGAUCGAGGAAACUCCUUCUAGCGAUUUUCCUUUCCGUCUUACACUCCCUCAAAAGAGAACGCGCACUCCACCAAAUUCUAGCACAACAAGCACUCCACCAAAUUCUAGCACAACAUGCACUCCACCAAAUUCUAGCACAACAUCCACUCCACCAAAUUCUAGCAAGUUUGAUCUGAGUUCUCUCUUUAAUGUCAAGCCAUUGGAGCAGGGUAAAUAUGGUGGUGACAAAGGUAGGACAAAUAGGACUCCGAACAGGGAGGAAACAUUGUCUGAUUGCCACAAGCUAUUGAAGGACCUUCUCCUGCAAUACAAAUAUGGAUUUAACAUCAGCAUUUUCAAGCGUCAGUUUGCUCAGAAGCACGGAUACGAGCUUGACCACCAGAAGCUUGGAUAUGCAGACAUUGAGUCACUGUUGCAGAUUAUGCCUGGUAUAAGGGUAGAAUUUCCCAGGGUUCUGCCUGCAGAAAAUGGGAAUGAUCAGGGUGGCAGUAAGGGUGAUGGAAAUCAAAGUAAUGGCGAUGAUUCCAUCUGGGGGGAACUUGGCCCUGUAUCUGCCACUGCCAAAACUGCUGAAGGAGUUGAUAAAGAAACUUGCUACCGGCCUCCCACCUGCUCAGAAGACGAUUUCUCUGACGAUGAGAAUCAAGCAGAGCAAGAGCCCAGAAGGGGCGCUGAGCAGAGCUCGCUCCUGAAAAUCAUUGAUUCCUGGAACGGCAGCAAGGAUGGCUCUGGCAAGAAACCUCAAGAGAUUGACGGGGUCAUGGAUUGUUCCAGGAGCAGUCCAGGUUACCUUGACACUCUGAGGGCCACAAGGCAGCAGCAGCAGACACAGAAGCAGUAUUCGUUUGUUUCAUCAGACUCGGAAGAGGAUGAAAGCAAGGAUAAGCUUGUGGACAGCGUGUUGGGCAGUCUGCAGAAAGCGCGAGGCGCAAAGGCGUCUAAUUGA